rnacentral:rRNA from 1 species
AUUAUUUUUUUAGAUUCUUUUUUAUUGUUGAAAAAAUUAAAAACAAAUUGUUUUUUACAAUAAUUAAAAUUUAUAAUAUUUCAAUUUUUAAUUUUUAGUUUUAAAUAAAAAUUACAAAUAUGAAAAAUAAAAAAAUUUUGUUAUAAAUUAAAUUAAUUUAUUUAUAUUAAAAAUAUUUUUUAUAAUUUUUAUUUUUUUUAUUUUUUUAAAAAAAAAAUAAUUUAAUUAUAAUUAUUUA